UUUCCACUGAAGGACAGAUACACACAGUGCAAACUGAGAUUUAUCAUCAUUUCACACAACAGAACAUACAUACCUAUUCAGUCUCGUCUGCUUCCGUUUAUAUGUGAUCACAAAUCAACUCCAUGAGGGCUUUAAGGCCAAAGGUGCGCACAUUUAGAGAUACAUUGAUAAAUUCUCAUGUCGAAGUCACAAUAACAAAAAAAAAAUUAUCUUUCUUUUUUUCUAUUAAUUUUCCAGUAAAGUUUCCUCUCUCCUGUCUCACUAAUGCUAUUCUUUCAGCCAAAAACGAAAAUGAAAUCCCAAACAGAAAACAGGAGUUUUGUCAUGCGGAUGUACAAAAUAUGAUACGAGGAAGUCCAGAAUCACAGCAAAGAAGCAGAGGCACAAUGACAUGAAACAUGAAUACAAAUAAAUUCACAAUUACAGAAUAUGAAAAGAUGCAGUGAACCACUUGAUUGAUUACCUGCGGAACUUUAAUUAAAUUAUAUGGGACAGUCUUUGUCUCAUGCAUUAAAUGCAGCACGCUGCUCGCCUAUGACAGCCUAAUAUUUAUAGUUAACUGAAGGAAUUGUAGAUGUGGGAGUGAAUGAACAGCUCUCUCAUCCACCUUCAGUAACCACGAAUGAGCUUCGCUUGUACAAACCCCUCAUUGCUUCCCGGGGUACCAUACUUGGUAACACAUUUAUUAGCUAUAAACCCCCAGAUUUAUGAUUUUGAAAAAUCUACCUCAGUAAGAUGUUAACAUUAUGUGGAACGAGUAACACAGACAGUGUAAAUUACCUUGUUUAAAAUUAUUUUAUACCAACCCCAUCAACCUCUUCCCCCACCUCUACCCCAUUUUAUUUAAUAAUGUUUUAUAAUUUAUUAAGAAAUAAUUCAUUAAAACAACUAAAAUAAAUCAGAAACUUGGCAAUGAAUAUUCAUGUGGUCUUCUCUCUCUCUAUCUAUCUAUCUAUCUAUCUCUACCUUAUUGCUAAAUUUAUUAGUGUCACUAAAUUUAAAGUCUGUGUGAAGAACAAUAAUGUUAGCAUUCAAUAUACAUAUAUUGCUAAAUUGUGUAAAAAAUAUUACAGUCGUGGCCAAAAAUAUUGGCCCCCUUGGUAAAUAUGAUCAAAAAAGGCUGUGAAAAUUCAUCUGCAUUGUUAAUCCUUUUGGUCUUUUAUUUUAAAAAAAUCACAAAAAUGUAUCCUUUCAUGGAUAAAAAGAAUUUAAAAUGGGGGAAAUAUCAUUAUGAAAUAAUGUCGUUCUAAUACACAUUGGCCACAAUUAACUGCACCCUUUUAUUCAAUACUUUUUUAAACCUCCAUUUGCCAGUUUAACAGCUCUAAAUUUUCUCCUGUAAUGCCUGGUGAGGUUAGAGAACACCUGACAAGAGAUCAGAGCUGAAGAUCUUUGCCCGAACCCGACUGGACCCGA
ensembl:lncRNA